rnacentral:antisense_RNA from 1 species
UGUGGGAGCUGGCUUGCCUGCGAUAGCGGUUUGUCAGAUACAGAUAUAGUGCUGACCCACCGCUAUCGCAGGCAAGCCAGCUCCCACA